rnacentral:rRNA from 1 species
GAUGAACGCUGGCGGCGUGCCUAAUACAUGCAAGUCGAGCGAAUGGAUUAAGAGCUUGCUCUUAUGAAGUUAGCGGCGGACGGGUGAGUAACACGUGGGUAACCUGCCCAUAAGACUGGGAUAACUCCGGGAAACCGGGGCUAAUACCGGAUAAUAUUUUGAACUGCAUGGUUCAAAAUUGAAAGGCGGCUUUGGCUGUCACUUAUGGAUGGACCCGGGUCGCAUUAGCUAGUUGGUGAGGUAACGGCUAACCAAGGCAACGAUGCGUAGCCGACCUGAGAGGGUGAUCGGCCACACUGGGACUGAGACACGGCCCAGACUCCUACGGGAGGCAGCAGUAGGGAAUCUUCCGCAAUGGACGAAAGUCUGACGGAGCAACGCCGCGUGAGUGAUGAAGGCUUUCGGGUCGUAAAACUCUGUUGUUAGGGAAGAACAAGUGCUAGUUGAAUAAGCUGGCACCUUGACGGUACCUAACCAGAAAGCCACGGCUAACUACGUGCCAGCAGCCGCAGUAA